AGAUCAGCCCUGGGGUUCAGAGGGAUCCUGACGGCUACUCCUCAAGAUCCUCUCUGUUGUGAUUCAUCCCCCCCGGGCCCUACAGUUUCUCCUUCCUGACUCUUACAUUUCUUUGGAUGGCAUCAUUAUUUACCUGUCUCCUCCCAUAGUUAGGUGCCAAGCACUGUGGAUUCUGCCCCUCAGUGUCCAGACACCCAUUUUCCUUCCCACUGUUCCUUCCCCAUGGAGAAGCCUGUGGCUGGCUGACAGCAGAGAGAGAUGCUCAACUUGGAGAAGGUGUUACCUGGGCCAGGUGGGGAAGGUUUGUUUGCAGAGCAAAGAAGUGAAGGAAGUAUUAACCCUUUGCAUGGCCUCCUGAGAAUCCGACAAGACGUAAAUAGCCAAGAAUAUCUGUGGAACUUAAUCACUGAGUUACAGUAUUUAUCACUGCAAGUGUGUUGUUCAUUGACACUAUAAAGCCAUGUGGAAUUAAGCAGCCUUGAAACACAAAAUGGAGAAAGGCUGAGAGCUGAGAAUUGUUGCCUUCAGGAAAAUACAAUCAAUGUCAAGCAAACAACCACCCCAAAAUGAUCCUCAUGUGACAGGUGACCUGCCGUAUAAUCAGAAGGAAGAAAUGUUACACAGAGAGGCUGAGAAGAAUCUGAGGACUUGCUAAGUUUUCCCCAGUUUAUUACCAUUAGAUCAUAUGCCUUUUUUGUUCAAUCA
rnacentral:antisense_RNA from 1 species